AUAAAAUUAUGUUAAUACUUCCAGUUGUGGUUCGUUCUUCUCUCUAUUCAUUUUGCUUCUGCUCAUCUCGAUUCUCUCCUGUUGCCCUCAUUUCCUUCAGACGCAGUCACAAAAGUCAUAAUAUGUUUGUCAUAAAUAUGUUUUUCAUAAAUACAUUUGUUCUAAUACAUAAUUUUUAUAAAUUACAUUUUUCAUAAAUUACAAAAGUCAUAGAUAACACAAGUCAUAAAUUCCAUUUGUCAUAACUACGUUUUUAUUGUAUACAAAUCAUACAUUUCUAAUAAUUUAUCCCAUUUUAACAUGUUUAAGAAAGUAGAAAAUCCGCGAUUGUUUUAAAUCAAAUCUGCUUAACUAUCUUUUCUCGGAAAUUGCAUGGAACAUGGAUCGUCUUAUGAGAUUUGAGAAAACAUCUAAAUAUGUCGAAGCUGUUGAUGCUCACCACAACACUUAUUACCUCAACAUCAACAAAACAAUGUAAACUACUGGUUAUGUUCCAGUAAAAGCUGCAACAAAAGGAUUGUUACCCGAAAAUCGACUGGAAACCUGGUAUGUGACUCUCUCCCUGAACAUGAUCAUGGGAACAAUGUCAAGAAACAGAAAACAAUGCAGCUAGAGAAUCAGGUAGUGGAAAGAAUGGCUGGGAAUGUAUCAAAUACUUGACGGAGUAUUCUGUCAGAGGUGACCAACUCCCUUCUUGCUGAAACCUCUGGAGGACUGCAUGGAAUGCGAUCAGCUAGAGCCAUCAAAACCAAUUGGUAUGGCGUGCAUGGCAGAAGUUUAACCCCAUGCCAAAGAUAUCAAUCAUCAAGAUAUCAUGGAAAUCCCAGAGCUACCUAUAAUAAGCUGGCUAAAACUAAAGAUGGCCAAUAUAUAAGUUUUGGUGUUUAUAGCUUUGCUGCACUCUACUCUACGAUGCAGAUGUGAAAAUAAACAAAUUAGG